AUCCACGCUACCUGAAAGAAGGCCGCCUUCUGAAUCCAACGAUACCGGUUAUGUGCACAUCGGACCUACGCUUCAAAAGAUACGGACAGAUCCACGCUACCUGAAAGAAGGCCGCCUUCUGAAUCCAACGAUACCAGUUAUGUGCACAUCGGACCUACGCUUCAAAAGAUACGGACAGCUCACUGGCUCUGCUUCGGUGACAUCACUGAAGUUUCACAUCUGACCCGGACCCUCACUUACUUCGAGUCCUUUUGCAAUGGCUGAACAAGCUGAGAGGAGAAAAGCUGACCGGCGCUUCACUGCUUGGUUUGCCACAGACCGCAGGAGAACCUACCUGUCCACCUGGCGAGAAACAGCACGCCGGAACAAAUAGCCUCAGAGAACCUCGCAGGAGAACUUCUGAACCGUGGCUUCUUCGUGACAGACCUGCCCCUGGGAGCCCGGAGCCGGAGGUUUGGCGGAGGAGGCUGAUGACCCGUCCUGUCUUCAUGAAAAAUAAGUGUACUCUGACCGUGCAACACACGUGCGAAACACAAAAAGCACCACGAGAGGAUCCACGCUACCUGAAAGAAGGCCGCCUUCUGAAUCCAACGAUACCAGUUAUGUGCACAUCGGACCUACGCUUCAAAAGAUACGGACAGGUAAGCUUUGGCCAAUCAGAUCGCAUAUGCUAACGAGGGUGGAAUUAAUGAGGGUGAAACUCGUUUUUAUCUAUAUACCUAGCUGCAACUGACCCCAAACUAGCCCCUAAACCUUAACCCUCAAAACUGCUAGCCUUAGCCCCAAACAAAACUGCUAGCCUUAGCCCCACUGACCGUAACCCACUGACCCCUGGCCCCACCGUUUUUAAACGUGCCAGUCCCUAGACUCUGUAAACCUUUAUCAACCAGACGCUUCAUCAAAUUCUGUACAGAAAUAUCAUAAAACUAAUAUCAUAUUCUCCAGGAUAUAACCCUUGGCUUCUCGGUCGCCCUCUCCUGGAUAAAACUGUGAAUAGCCAUGUGUAAAAAACUGAUUAGGAUUCCAAUAUUUUAGCAGGAUUUGACACUCCAGGCGGAGCUCUUGAGCGGAUGACUUCACUCAAAGACAUCUUUCCAGUCUAAUUUUAAUGAUGCACUCUCUCUCUCUUUCACAAACACACACAUACACUCCUGUGCACACUCACACGCACGUGUGCACACUCACACGCAUAUGCAGUCAAAACACACAGACGCACACGAACUGGCUGGAAAACUAUUUUUAUUCAGGCUAGUGAUACCUUGUUCCUAAAAAGACAAAUGAUUUGACGGGUUAUUUCGUUUGGAUGUAUUUCUUGUUUUUAUCGAUGACUGGCUUCCUUUUUGUCACGCUUUAGACUGAUGUACGGUCACAUUGGAUUUGAAAACGACAUCCUUUCUUCCAUAGAUCCACGCUACCUGAAAGAAGGCCGCCUUCUGAAUCCAACGAUACCAGUUAUGUGCACAUCGACCUACGCUUCAAAAGAUACGGACAGGUAAGCUUUGGCCAAUCAGAUCGCAUAUGCUAACGAGGGUGGAAUUAAUGAGGGUGAAACUCGUUUUUAUCUAUAUACCUAGCUGCAACUGACCCCAAACUAGCCCCUAAACCUUAACCCUCAAAACUGCUAGCCUUAGCCCCAAACAAAACUGCUAGCUUAGCCCCACUGACCGUAACCCACUGACCCCUGGCCCCACCGUUUUUAAACGUGCCAGUCCCUAGACUCUGUAAACCUUUAUCAACCAGACGCUUCAUCAAAUUCUGUACAGAAAUAUCAUAAAACUAAUAUCAUAUUCUCCAGGAUAUAACCCUUGGCUUCUCGGUCGCCCUCUCCUGGAUAAAACUGUGAAUAGCCAUGUGUAAAAAACUGAUUAGGAUUCCAAUAUUUUAGCAGGAUUUGACACUCCAGGCGGAGCUCUUGAGCGGAUGACUUCACUCAAAGACAUCUUUCCAGUCUAAUUUUAAUGAUGCACUCUCUCUCUCUUUCACAAACACACACAUACACUCCUGUGCACACUCACACGCACGUGUGCACACUCACACGCAUAUGCAGUCAAAAACACACAGACGCACACGAACUGGCUGGAAAACUAUUUUAUUCAGGCUAGUGAUACCUUGUUCCUAAAAAGACAAAUGAUUUCACGGUUAUUUCGUUUGGAUGUAUUUCUUGUUUUAUCGAUGACUGGCUUCCUUUUUGUCACGCUUUAGACUGAUGUACGGUCACAUUGGAUUUGAAAACGACAUCCUUUCUUCCAUAGAUCCACGCUACCUGAAAGAAGGCCGCCUUCUGAAUCCAACGAUACCAGUUAUGUGCACAUCGGACCUACGCUUCAAAAGAUACGGACAGGUAAGCUUUGGCCAAUCAGAUCGCAUAUGCUAACGAGGGUGGAAUUAAUGAGGGUGAAACUCGUUUUUAUCUAUAUACCUAGCUGCAACUGACCCCAAACUAGCCCCUAAACCUUAAACCUCAAAAACUGCUAGCCUUAGCCCCAAACAAAACUGCUAGCCUUA
rnacentral:lncRNA from 1 species